CGAGAAAGGUGCUUUAGGGUACUGAGUAAAGUAGCGGACGGGUGAGUAAGGCGUGAGCAAGCUACCCUGGAGAGGGGGAUAACAUCUUGAAAAGGGUGCUAAUACUCCAUAGAGUUAUUGGUGAGCAUUCAUUAAUAAUGAAAGGGAGGCCUCUUUGGAAGAAAGCUUUUGCUUCAGGAUGUGCUCGCGUACCAUUAGUUAGUUGGUAGGGUAAAGGCCUACCAAGGCGAUGAUGGUUAGCCGGCCUGAGAGGGUGUACGGCCACACUGGGACUGAGAUACGGCCCAGACUCCUACGGGAGGCAGCAGUGGGGAAUAUUGCGCAAUGGGGGCAACCCUGACGCAGCAAUACCGCGUGGACGAUGAAGGCCUUUGGGUUGUAAAGUUCUGUCAGGUGGGAAGAAGUUCUAUAUGGCGAAGAGCCGUAUAGUUUGACGGUACCACCGGAGGAAGCUCCGGCUAACUCCGUGCCAGCAGCCGCGGUAAUACGGAGGGGGCGAGCGUUGUUCGGAAUUACUGGGCGUAAAGGGCGUGUAGGCGGCCAAGUAAGUUAGGUGCG
rnacentral:rRNA from 1 species